rnacentral:tRNA from 1 species
ACCUAAGUGCUGAAAUGGUAGACAGGGGAAACUUAAGAUUUUCUGAGAUAACUCAUGGGUGUUCAAGUCACUCCUUAGGUA